rnacentral:rRNA from 1 species
UACGUAGGGGGCAAGCGUUGUCCGGAUUUAUUGGGCGUAAAGAGCGUGUAGGCGGCCAUGCAGGUCCGCUGUGAAAACUCGAGGCUCAACCUCGAGACGUCGGUGGAAACCGCAUGGCUAGAGUCCGGAAGAGGCGAGUGGAACUCCUGGUGUAGCGGUGGAAUGCGCAGAUAUCAGGAAGAACACCGACGGCGAAGGCAGCUCGCUGGGACGGUACUGACGCUGAGGCGCGAAAGCGUGGGGAGCGAACAGG